UGGCUAAGGUGUCUUGGCUAAUGUGUCUUGGCUAAAGUGUCUUGGCUAAGGUGUCUCGGCUAAGGUGUCUUGGCUAAUGUGUCUUGGCUAAGGUGUCUUGGCUAAGGUGUCUUGGCUAAGGUGUCUUGGCUAAGGUGUCUUGGCUAAUGUGUCUUGGCUUAGGUGUCUUGGCUAAUGUGUCUUGGCUAAGGUGUCUUGGCUAAUGUGUCUUGGCUAAGGUGUCUUGGCUAAGGUGUCUUGGCUAAGGUGUCUUGGCUAAUUUGUCUUGGCUAAGGUGUCUUGG